AACGAACGCUGGCGGCAUGCCUAACACAUGCAAGUCGAACGCCUGUAGCAAUACAGGAGUGGCAGACGGGUGCAUAACACGUGGGAACCUACCCUUGAGUUCGGAAUAACCGCGGGAAACUGCGGCUAAUACCGGAUACGUCCUCUGGGAGAAAGAUUCAUCGCCCUUGGAGGGGCCCGCGUCGGAUUAGCUAGUUGGUGAGGUAACGGCUCACCAAGGCGACGAUCCGUAGCUGAUCUGAGAGGAUGAUCAGCCACACUGGAACUGAGACACGGUCCAGACUCCUACGGGAGGCAGCAGUGGGGAAUAUUGGACAAUGGGGGCAACCCUGAUCCAGCAAUGCCGCGUGGGUGAUGAAGGCCUUCGGGUUGUAAAGCCCUUUUGGCAGGGACGAUGAUGACGGUACCUGCAGAAUAAGCCCCGGCUAACUUCGUGCCAGCAGCCGCCGUAA
rnacentral:rRNA from 1 species